GUCGAACGGAUCCUUCGGGAUUAGUGGCGGACGGGUGAGUAACACGUGGGAACGUGCCUUUUGGUUCGGAACAACGCAGAGAAAUUUGCGCUAAUACCGAAUGUGCCCUUCGGGGGAAAGAUUUAUCGCCAUUAGAGCGGCCCGCGUCUGAUUAGCUAGUUGGUGAGGUAAAGGCUCACCAAGGCUACGAUCAGUAGCUGGUCUGAGAGGAUGAUCAGCCACAUUGGGACUGAGACACGGCCCAAACUCCUACGGGAGGCAGCAGUGGGGAAUCUUGCGCAAUGGGCGAAAGCCUGACGCAGCCAUGCCGCGUGAAUGAUGAAGGUCUUAGGAUUGUAAAAUUCUUUCACCGGGGACGAUAAUGACGGUACCCGGAGAAGAAGCCCCGGCUAACUUCGUGCCAGCAGCCGCGGUAAUACGAAGGGGGCUAGCGUUGCUCGGAAUUACUGGGCGUAAAGGGAGCGUAGGCGGAUAGUUUAGUCAGAGGUGAAAGCCCAGGGCUCAACCUUGGAAUUGCCUUUGAUACUGGCUAUCUUGAGUUUGGGAGAGGUGAGUCGAACUCCGAGUGUAGAGGUGAAAUUCGUAGAUAUUCGGAAGAACACCAGUGGCGAAGGCGACUCACUGGCCCAAUACUGACGCUGAGGCUCGAAAGCGUGGGGAGCAAACAGGAUUAGAUACCCUGGUAGUCCACGCCGUAAACGAUGAGUGCUAGUUGUCGGCAUGCAUGCAUGUCGGUGACGCAGCUAACGC
rnacentral:rRNA from 1 species